rnacentral:rRNA from 1 species
GUCCAUGGCCACACCACGCUCAACAGGCCUGAUCUCAUCUGGUCUCAGAAGCUAGGCAGGGUGGGGCCUGCUUAGAACUUGGAAACUCUUUUCCUUUUCAUGCCUCUGGGAGUGUGAAUC